GGCGAAUGUUUUAAGAGGUCAUAUGUAAACACGAAAACAGUUUCUCAACAGCAUUCGACAGACAAGGCAGCAAAGAGAAAUGUUGAUACAAUCGAUAUUUAUUAACACUUUGGCCAUCCUGUUGGUCUUCUGGCUGGGACACGUUACUUGCCAAUCAUCGGCCGAUGAUCAAGAGCUUGAAAUCGGAAUAAAAGGGGAAGGACCACCGGAAAAGGAAGAAUUUCCUUGGACGUAUGAUGGCCAGGAAAACUGAUAGUUCGGGGAUCUUUCAUAAGUCAUAUUCAGUAAUACUUUGAUUAUAUAUAAAUAUUUCAAAGAUUAUAUUAUAAUUAACAGUUGCUGCUUAUCAGUAAUGGUAUAAAAGUCUUAAUUGUAACAUAUUUUUGGGAUGAUGUAAAACUGAGCUUGGGGCAAAUUAGCAAAUUGGAGAAACAAAUAAAAAUAAAAAAACUUUGAUAAUCAUUUUAUGACUGAUAGUGUUCAAUUUCGCAAGUACAGUUUUUGUUUAAAAAUACGUAAGUCACUGCAAAAAUUAUACGUACAAUGACCACAAAAAUUCAUUUAUGUAGCAUGAUUUCAGGCUGAUGACAAUUUAGAAUCUGAAAUACAAGUCCAUCUUUAAUUGUUUGCUUUAUCAAAUCGUACUCAAGUUUUAACCUUUGAAUAGUUGAUUGUAAAUCAAAGAACAUUGUAAUUUAACCGAAGUAGUAACUAAGGGCUGCCAAAGCAAUGGAAACAUGUGCCACUGUUAAAAAUAAAAACUCAAGGACAGGAUUAUCAUUAUAAAGCAAUGGAAAACUCACCAGCCAAAGGCCAAACCGGAAGACAGGCGCACGGAAAAGCCAUGCUAAUAAAAAUUCCCAGAAGUUUCACCCCAUUUAAUGCCAGGCACAGCAAUAUCGUGGAUAAUAUCUGUAAAAACAUUACCAUAGUAAUUCCGAUAACAAUAUCUUGGUUAA